rnacentral:rRNA from 1 species
AUGGCUCAGGACGAACGCUGGCGGCGUGCUUAACACAUGCAAGUCGAGCGGUAAGGCCUUUCGGGGUACACGAGCGGCGAACGGGUGAGUAACACGUGGGUGAUCUGCCCUGCACUUCGGGAUAAGCCUGGGAAACUGGGUCUAAUACCGGAUAUGACCUCCUAUCGCAUGGUGGGUGGUGGAAAGAUUUAUCGGUGCAGGAUGGGCCCGCGGCCUAUCAGCUUGUUGGUGGGGUAAUGGCCUACCAAGGCGACGACGGGUAGCCGACCUGAGAGGGUGACCGGCCACACUGGGACUGAGACACGGCCCAGACUCCUACGGGAGGCAGCAGUGGGGAAUAUUGCACAAUGGGCGAAAGCCUGAUGCAGCGACGCCGCGUGAGGGAUGACGGCCUUCGGGUUGUAAACCUCUUUCAGCAGGGACGAAGCGCAAGUGACGGUACCUGCAGAAGAAGCACCGGCUAACUACGUGCCAGCAGCCGCGGUAAUACGUAGGGUGCAAGCGUUGUCCGGAAUUACUGGGCGUAAAGAGUUCGUAGGCGGUUUGUCGCGUCGUUUGUGAAAACCAGCAGCUCAACUGCUGGCUUGCAGGCGAUACGGGCAGACUUGAGUACUGCAGGGGAGACUGGAAUUCCUGGUGUAGCGGUGAAAUGCGCAGAUAUCAGGAGGAACACCGGUGGCGAAGGCGGGUCUCUGGGCAGUAACUGACGCUGAGGAACGAAAGCGUGGGUAGCGAACAGGAUUAGAUACCCUGGUAGUCCACGCCGUAAACGGUGGGCGCUAGGUGUGGGUUCCUUCCACGGAAUCCGUGCCGUAGCUAACG